GAUGAACGCUGGCGGCGUGCCCAAUACAUGCAAGUCGAGCGAAUGGAUUAAGAGCUUGCUCUUAUGAAGUUAGCGGCGGACGGGUGAGUAACACGUGGGUAACCUGCCCAUAAGACUGGGAUAACUCCGGGAAACCGGGGCUAAUACCGGAUAACAUUUUGAACCGCAUGGUUCGAAAUUGAAAGGCGGCUUCGGCUGUCACUUAUGGAUGGACCCGCGUGGCAUUAGCUAGUUGGUGGGGUAACGGCUCACCAAGGCAACGAUGCGUAGCCGACCUGAGAGGGUGAUCGGCCACACUGGGACUGAGACACGGCCCAGACUCCUACGGGAGGCAGCAGUAGGGAAUCUUCCGCAAUGGACGAAAGUCUGACGGAGCAACGCCGCGUGAGUGAUGAAGGCUUUCGGGUCGUAAAACUCUGUUGUUAGGGAAGAACAAGUGCUAGUUGAAUAAGCUGGCACCUUGACGGUACCUAACCAGAAAGCCACGGCUAACUACGUGCCAGCCGCCGCAGUAA
rnacentral:rRNA from 1 species